UACGUAGGGUCCGAGCGUUGUCCGGAAUUAUUGGGCGUAAAGAGCUCGUAGGCGGUUUGUCGCGUCUGCUGUGAAAUCCCGAGGCUCAACCUCGGGCCUGCAGUGGGUACGGGCAGACUGGAGUGCGGUAGGGGAGAAUGGAAUUCCUGGUGUAGCGGUGGAAUGCGCAGAUAUCAGGAGGAACACCAAUGGCGAAGGCAGCACUCUGGGACGUGACUGACGCUGAGACGCGAAAGCGUGGGGAGCAAACAGG
rnacentral:rRNA from 1 species